rnacentral:rRNA from 1 species
UACGUACGAGGCGAGCGUUAUCCGGAAUUACUGGGCGUAAAGCGCGCGCAGGUGGCUUGGUAAGUGAGAUGUGAAAUCUCCCGGCCUAACUGGGAGGGGACAUUUUCAGACUGGCAGGCUUGAGGACAGCAGAGGUAGGUGGAAUUCCUGGUGUAGUGGUGAAAUGCGUAGAGAUCAGGAGGAACACCGGUGGCGAAGGCGGCCGCCUGGGCCAGUCCUGACGCUGGAGCCGCGAAAGCGUGGGGAGCGAUCCGG